rnacentral:rRNA from 1 species
AUGAACGCUAGCUACAGGCUUAACACAUGCAAGUCGAGGGGCAGCAUUUCAGUUUGCUUGCAAACUGGAGAUGGCGACCGGCGCACGGGUGAGUAACACGUAUCCAACCUGCCGAUAACUCGGGGAUAGCCUUUCGAAAGAAAGAUUAAUACCCGAUGGUAUAAUCAGACCGCAUGGUCUUGUUAUUAAAGAAUUUCGGUUAUCGAUGGGGAUGCGUUCCAUUAGGCAGUUGGUGAGGUAACGGCUCACCAAACCUUCGAUGGAUAGGGGUUCUGAGAGGAAGGUCCCCCACAUUGGAACUGAGACACGGUCCAAACUCCUACGGGAGGCAGCAGUGAGGAAUAUUGGUCAAUGGGCGCAGGCCUGAACCAGCCAAGUAGCGUGAAGGAUGACUGCCCUAUGGGUUGUAAACUUCUUUUAUAUGGGAAUAAAGUUUUCCACGUGUGGAAUUUUGUAUGUACCAUAUGAAUAAGGAUCGGCUAACUCCGUGCCAGCAGCCGCGGUAAUACGGAGGAUCCGAGCGUUAUCCGGAUUUAUUGGGUUUAAAGGGAGCGUAGGUGGACAGUUAAGUCAGUUGUGAAAGUUUGCGGCUCAACCGUAAAAUUGCAGUUGAUACUGGCUGUCUUGAGUACAGUAGAGGUGGGCGGAAUUCGUGGUGUAGCGGUGAAAUGCUUAGAUAUCACGAAGAACUCCGAUUGCGAAGGCAGCUCACUGGACUGCAACUGACACUGAUGCUCGAAAGUGUGGGUAUCAAACAGGAUUAGAUACCCUGGUAGUCCACACAGUAAACGAUGAAUACUCGCUGUUUGCGAUAUACAGUAAGCGGCCAAGCGAAAGCAUUAAGUAUUCCACCUGGGGAGUACGCCGGCAACGGUGAAACUCAAAGGAAUUGACGGGGGCCCGCACAAGCGGAGGAACAUGUGGUUUAAUUCGAUGAUACGCGAGGAACCUUACCCGGGCUUAAAUUGCAUUUGAAUAUAUUGGAAACAGUAUAGCCGUAAGGCAAAUGGGAAGGUGCUGCAUGGUUGUCGUCAGCUCGUGCCGUGAGGUGUCGGCUUAAGUGCCAUAACGAGCGCAACCCUUAUCUUUAGUUACUAACAGGUCAUGCUGAGGACUCUAGAGAGACUGCCGUCGUAAGAUGUGAGGAAGGUGGGGAUGACGUCAAAUCAGCACGGCCCUUACGUCCGGGGCUACACACGUGUUACAAUGGGGGGUACAGAAGGCAGCUACCUGGUGACAGGAUGCUAAUCCCAAAAGCCUCUCUCAGUUCGGAUCGAAGUCUGCAACCCGACUUCGUGAAGCUGGAUUCGCUAGUAAUCGCGCAUCAGCCAUGGCGCGGUGAAUACGUUCCCGGGCCUUGUACACACCGCCCGUCAAGCCAUGAAAGCCGGGGGUACCUGAAGUACGUAACCGCAAGGAGCGUCCUAGGGUAAAACUGGUAAUUGGGGCU